rnacentral:rRNA from 1 species
GACGAACGCUGGCGGCGUGCUUAACACAUGCAAGUCGAACGGUAAGGCCCCUUCGGGGGUCCACGAGUGGCGAACGGGUGCGUAACACGUGGGUGAUCUGCCCUGCACUUCGGGAUAAGCCUGGGAAACUGGGUCUAAUACCGGAUAGGACCACGCUCUGCAUGGAGUGUGGUGGAAAGCUUUUGCGGUGUGGGAUGGGCCCGCGGCCUAUCAGCUUGUUAGUGGGGUGAUGGCCUACCAAGGCGACGACGGGUAGCCGGCCUGAGAGGGUGUCCGGCCACACUGGGACUGAGAUACGGCCCAGACUCCUACGGGAGGCAGCAGUGGGGAAUAUUGCACAAUGGGCGCAAGCCUGAUGCAGCGACGCCGCGUGGGGGAUGACGGCCUUCGGGUUGUAAACCUCUUUCAGUACCGACGAAGCGCAAGUGACGGUAGGUACAGAAGAAGCACCGGCCAACUACGUG